AUACGGAGGGUCCGAGCGUUAUCCGGAAUCAUUGGGUUUAAAGGGUCCGUAGGCGGGAAUCUAAGUCAGUGGUGAAAUCUUGCAGCUCAACUGUAAAAUUGCCAUUGAUACUGGAUUUCUUGAAUUAGUGUGAAGUGGUUAGAAUGUGUAGUGUAGCGGUGAAAUGCAUAGAUAUUACACAGAAUACCAAUUGCGAAGGCAGAUCACUAACACUAUCUUGACGCUGAGGGACGAAAGCGUGGGGAGCGAACAGGAUUAGAAACCCUAGUAGUCC
rnacentral:rRNA from 1 species